AUUGAACGCUGGCGGCAGGCCUAACACAUGCAAGUCGAGCGGAUGAAGGGAGCUUGCUCCUGGAUUCAGCGGCGGACGGGUGAGUAAUGCCUAGGAAUCUGCCUGGUAGUGGGGGAUAACGUCCGGAAACGGGCGCUAAUACCGCAUACGUCCUGAGGGAGAAAGUGGGGGAUCUUCGGACCUCACGCUAUCAGAUGAGCCUAGGUCGGAUUAGCUAGUUGGUGGGGUAAAGGCCUACCAAGGCGACGAUCCGUAACUGGUCUGAGAGGAUGAUCAGUCACACUGGAACUGAGCCACGGUCCAGACUCCUACGGGAGGCAGCAGUGGGGAAUAUUGGACAAUGGGCGAAAGCCUGAUCCAGCCAUGCCGCGUGUGUGAAGAAGGUCUUCGGAUUGUAAAGCACGUUAAGUUGGGAGGAAGGGCAGUAAGUUAAUACCUUGCUGUUUUGACGUUACCAACAGAAUAAGCACCGGCUAACUUCGUG
rnacentral:rRNA from 1 species